rnacentral:rRNA from 1 species
GGAUCAGUACGCUGGUCAUGCUUUCGGGUAUGUACUGGUGUCACUGAUUCCUCCCUUCUGACGAACUAUCAUGCCAUUUACUUGGUGUGGUGGGGAAUUAGGACUGUUAUUUUGAAAAAAUUAGAGUGUUUAAAGCAGGCUAACGCUUGAAUACAUUAGCAUGGAAUAAUGAAAUAGGACGUUUGAUCCUAUUUUGUUGGUUUCUAGGAUUGACGUA